GAUGAACGCUGGCGGCGUGCCUAAUACAUGCAAGUCGAGCGAACGGACGAGAAGCUUGCUUCUCUGAUGUUAGCGGCGGACGGGUGAGUAACACGUGGAUAACCUACCUAUAAGACUGGGAUAACUUCGGGAAACCGGAGCUAAUACCGGAUAAUAUUUUGAACCGCAUGGUUCAAAAGUGAAAGACGGUCUUGCUGUCACUUAUAGAUGGAUCCGCGCUGCAUUAGCUAGUUGGUAAGGUAACGGCUUACCAAGGCAACGAUGCAUAGCCGACCUGAGAGGGUGGUCGGCCACACUGGAACUGAGACACGGUCCAGACUCCUACGGGAGGCAGCAGUCGGGAAUCUUCCGCAAUGGGCGAAAGCCUGACGGAGCAACGCCGCGUGAGUGAUGAAGGUCUUCGGAUCGUAAAACUCUGUUAUUAGGGAAGAACAUAUGUGUAAGUAACUGUGCACAUCUUGACGGUACCUAAUCAGAAAGCCACGGCUAACUACGUG
rnacentral:rRNA from 1 species